ensembl:lncRNA
GCUAUCUGUAAAUGAUGUCUGAGUGUUGGAGUGUGCACCAGGCUAUCUGUAAAUGAUGUCUGAGUGUUGGAGUGUGACCAGGCUAUCUGUAAAUGAUGUCUGAGUGUUGGAGUGUGCACCAGGCUAUCUGUAAAUGAUGUCUGAGUGUUGGAGUGUGACCAGGCUAUCUGUAAAUGAUGUCUGAGUGUUGGAGUGUGACCAGGCUAUCUGUAAAUGAUGUCUGAGUGUUGGAGUGUGACCAGGCUAUCUGUAAAUGAUGUCUGAGUGUUGGAGUGUGACCAGGCUAUCUGUAAAUGAUGUCUGAGUGUUGGAGUGUGCACCAGGCUAUCUGUAAAUGAUGUCUGAGUGUUGGAGUGUGCACCAGGCUAUCUGUAAAUGAUGUCUGAGUGUUGGAGUGUGCACCAGGCU